rnacentral:lncRNA from 1 species
AACAACAGUUCCUCUCUUCUUUUUUCUUCUCCAUACAAAGGCAGUGAGGCUAUCACUAUUCACUUUUAUCAUUUGCCCGCCAAAGUAUGGUGUAUUACGUUAUGAACACUUCAAUUACAGGCUGCGACAUGAUUCAGUUCUCUCAGCUGGAAACUUACUUCUUUAGACACUAACCUUAGUCACAACUGAAUCUUGAUCUUAAUUACUUGGUAAUAAUUUGAGGGUUCCACCGCUGUAAAGUGUAAACUAGCUCUUUCACCUCCAAUAUGGAUUACAGGUCACAUGGUUAUCCGAAGACAAUCUCCAAUUUGCCUAAUGCAUUACAAUUUUUAGCGGUACUUCAUUAUCAUCAUUGGUCUAAAUUAAGGAUAAAAUUCAGUAGGUGAAUUUGUCAGCUACUCUAUCACUUUAUAUCAAAAAUUUCCCACUUUAUCUUAUUCUUAUGGGCCAAUUACAUAUAAGUCCACUUUGAGACAUUUUUUCUCACAUAGAUCCACCCCAACAUUUUUACCCACAUAAGUCCACCCAAAUCUAAAUAAAGUUUUGUAUAAAGUAUUAAAGUUCAACAUAAUUACAGACUGCCAUCCAACAAAAAAAAUUAGAUUUUCUCCUUUAUAUUUACAAGAAUGCCACUAGUAUAAAAAGUCAACAACCAUUCUCAUUUCGGAACAGUCUCCGGCGGACCUCCGGCGAGAUUUCCAGCGGACCUCCGGCGAGGUUUUCGGCCGACCUCCGGCGAGAUUUCCGACUGACCUCCGACGAGAUUUCCGACUGACCUCCGGCGAGGUUUCCGGCCGACCUCCGACGAUGACAAAAAUUACUACUACCAGCUAAAAAAGCUACUACCACCAGCUAUAAAAGCUACUACCACCGCCUACAAAAGCUACUACAAAAGUUUCCGGCCGACCUCCGGCGAGGUUUCCGACCGACCUCCGGUGAGGUUUCCGACCGACCUCCGGUGAGGUUUCCGGCCGACCUCCGACGAUGACAAAAAUUACUACUACAAGCUAAAAAAGCUACUACCACCAGCUAUAAAAGCUACUACCACCGCCUACAAAAGCUACUACUGUGAGGUUUCUGAUGAAAACAAAAGCUACUACCACAAGCUACAAAAGCUACUACCACCGCCUACAAAAGCUACUACUGUGAGGUUUUCGACGAACACAAAACUACUACCACCAGCGACAAAAGCUACUACCACCAGCUACAAAAGCUACUACCACCGCCUACAAAAGCUACUACUGUGAGGUUUCCGAUGAACACAAAAGCUACUACCACCAGCCACAAAAAAUACUACCACCGCCUACAAAAACUACUACUGUGAGGUUUUCGACGAACACAAAAACUACUACCACCAGCCACAAAAGCUACUACCACCGCCUACAAAAGCUACUACCACAGCCUACAAAAGCUACUACUGUGAGCUUUUCGACGAACACAAAAAAUACUACCACCAGCCACAAAAGCUACUACCACCAUCUACAAAAACUAUUACCACCGUCUACAAAAGCUACUACGUCCAUUGAUUCAUCAAAUUACACAACUAAAUUAGCAGUCAGUGAUGCGUGAUCAAGAUUGAACAAGAAUAGAAAUGAAUCGGAAUACUCAUAAAACCACAGCCCUUGGAUCGGCCUGUGUCCUUGUCAGAAAUGACAACCGCCUCAAGGCGGUGGAUCCUCGAUAGAUCUGCACCUCACCGACGAAUCACCUUCGUCGUCACCGUCUCGAACUCAUAGGAGAAGGUGCGGAGAAGAAGAUGACGAGGCUGAUCGGAGAAGGUGCGGCCAGUGAUGACGGGGCUGAUCAGAGGAUCGGAAAAGGUAGAGGAAGGUCCACACACACUGGGGAGAUCUACUAAGGCGCAUAAAUCUCUGCUUCCAACGGCGGCGGGCGCCGAACAAGUGGUGGAUGACGUCGUCGGAGUUGGUUGGACCUUGUAGAUCCGGCUGCGCGUUGAGGAGAUGCAGUCGAGGUCGAAGCGGAGGUCGUCGAGGAGUCGUCGACGGUGGAUCCAGAUGUCAUCGUCAAGGCGACGGCAUCGUCAGAGCCGGAGAUGCAAUCAAGGCUUAGUCGGAAGUAGCGCCGAGGAGGCGGCGGCUUCGCCAUGGCAGUGGGUUCGCGAGAGAGAGAGAGAGAGAGAGAGAGAGAGAGAGAGAGAGAGAGAGAGAGAGAGAGAGAGAGAGAGAGAGAGAGAGAGAGAGAGAGAGAGAG